CGAAAGGCCAACUCAUGCUAUCUCUAGGAGACUACAAUUGACCUCUUGGCAUAGAGGUAUAUGGAAUCGAGAUGGGUGAUAUUUAUAGCCGAGUCCUUGGCUAGUGAGGGCUGAUCCUUGGGAGCUGGAUUCUCCAAAUCCAGUACUCUAGCUGUCUCCUUGGAGCUUUAUGGAAGCAAGGAACGAGAGGGAAGAGGAAGGAGAGGAAGAUAGAAUUUAACUAGUAUCUCACCAAUGUUGUACCACAUGAUGUAAUCCAUAUAUGUGUAGUCCCUUUCAAAGUACUCAUAUACUACUUGCAAUUCCAUCAUUCUUGUAAAAAUACUUCUCAAGUAUUUUUCUAAUAAAGUAUAUCUUUUACCUUUA